UGAGGAAUAUUGGGCAAUGCCCGCAAGGGUGACCCAGCAACGCCGCGUGGAGGAUGAAUGUCGUAAGAUUGUAAACUCCUGUUAGAGGGGAAGAAUAGUACCGGUUGGACCGGUAUAUGACUGUACCCUCAGAGAAAGCCCCGGCUAACUACGUGCCAGCAGCCGCGGUAAUACGUAGGGGGCAAGCGUUGUCCGGAUUUACUGGGUGUAAAGGGCGCGCAGGCGGGAUAAAAAGUCAGUGGUGAAAUCCUACAGCUUAACUGUAGAACUGCCUUUGAUACUUUUAUUCUUGAGUUCGGGAGAGAGAGACGGAAUUCCAGGUGUAGUGGUGAAAUACGUAGAUAUCUGGAAGAACACCGGUUGCGAAGGCGGUCUCUUGGUCCGACACUGACGCUGAGGCGCGAAAGCGUGGGGAGCAAACA
rnacentral:rRNA from 1 species